GACGAACGCUGGCGGCGUGCCUAAUACAUGCAAGUAGAACGCUGAAGGAGGAGCUUGCUUCUCUGGAUGAGUUGCGAACGGGUGAGUAACGCGUAGGUAACCUGCCUGGUAGCGGGGGAUAACUAUUGGAAACGAUAGCUAAUACCGCAUAAUAGUAGAUGUUGCAUGACAUUUGCUUAAAAGGUGCAAUUGCAUCACUACCAGAUGGACCUGCGUUGUAUUAGCUAGUUGGUGGGGUAACGGCUCACCAAGGCGACGAUACAUAGCCGACCUGAGAGGGUGAUCGGCCACACUGGGACUGAGACACGGCCCAGACUCCUACGGGAGGCAGCAGUAGGGAAUCUUCGGCAAUGGACGGAAGUCUGACCGAGCAACGCCGCGUGAGUGAAGAAGGUUUUCGGAUCGUAAAGCUCUGUUGUAAGAGAAGAACGAGUGUGAGACUGGAAAGUUCACACUGUGACGGUAUCUUACCAGAAAGGGACGGCUAACUACGUGC
rnacentral:rRNA from 1 species